AUACGGAGGAUCCAAGCGUUAUCCGGAUUUAUUGGGUUUAAAGGGUGCGCAGGCGGUAUUAUAAGUCAGUGGUGAAAUCUGGAGGCUCAACCUCCAAACUGCCAUUGAUACUGUAGUACUAGAGUACAGACGAAGUAGGCGGAAUGUAGCAUGUAGCGGUGAAAUGCUUAGAUAUGCUACAGAACACCGAUCGCGAAGGCAGCUUACUAGACUGUUACUGACGCUAAUGCACGAAAGCGUGGGGAGCGAACAGGAUUAGAAACCCGAGUAGUCC
rnacentral:rRNA from 1 species